UAACGAAUCUUCCGCAAUGCACGAAAGUGUGACGGAGCGACGCCGCGUGGAGGACGAAGUUCUUCGGAAUGUAAACUCCUGUCAGGGGAAAGAAAGUUCUGAUCUACCCCAGAGGAAGAGGCGGCUAACUCUGUGCCAGCAGCCGCGGUAAUACAGAGGCCUCGAGCGUUAGACGGAAUCACUGGGUUUAAAGGGUGCGUAGGCGGACUGAUAAGUCAGUGGUGAAAUCUCUCGGCUUAACCGAGAAACUGCCAUUGAUACUGUUAGUCUAGAGUACAGAUGAUGUGGGCGGAAUAUGACAUGUAGUGGUGAAAUACUUAGAUAUGUCAUAGAACACCGAUUGCGAAGGCAGCUCACAAAACUGUAACUGACGCUGAGGCACGAAAGUGCGGGGAUCAAACAGGAUUAGAUACCCAUGUAGUCCCUGAGCGGGCUGGCAAGGCGCAU
rnacentral:rRNA from 1 species